AUAUGAUUUAUCAGAAAAUUUUCCCAAAUCACAUGGUUUAUGCCUUUGAGUUCUUGAUUACAAAAUGUCGAGGUAAAGAUCAUAACUCUUGAGAGAAUUAUAAGAAGGAUUCAAAACUCACCUUUGCUGAUUUGAAUAGUUCAUCGAGAAC